rnacentral:rRNA from 1 species
CUACGGGACGCUCCAGUGAGGAAUAUUGCACAAUGGGGGGAACCCUGAUGCAGCAACGCCGCGUGGAGGAUGACGCAUUUCGGUGUGUAAACUCCUUUUAUAUGUCAAGAAAAUGACGGUAGCAUAUGAAUAAGCACCGGCUAACUCCGUGCCAGCAGCCGCGGUAAUACGGAGGGUGCAAGCGUUACUCGGAAUCACUGGGCGUAAAGGACGCGUAGGCGGGUGGAAAGUCAGGUGUGAAAUCCUACAGCUUAACUGUAGAACUGCACUUGAAACUUCUAAUCUAGAGUAUGGGAGGGGGAGAUGGAAUUAGUGGUGUAGGGGUAAAAUCCGUAGAUAUCACUAGGAAUACCUAAAGCGAAGGCGAUCUCCUGGAACGUUACUGACGCUGAGGCGUGAAAGCGUGGGGAGCAAACAGGAUUAGAUACCCCUGUAGUC